rnacentral:rRNA from 1 species
UACGUAGGUGGCGAGCGUUGUCCGGAAUUACUGGGUGUAAAGCGCGUGUAGGCGGUUCGGUAAGUCCGCUGUGAAAGUCGGGGGGCUCAACCCUCGGAUGCCGGUGGAUACUGUCGAGCUUGAGUACGGAAGAGGCGAGUGGAAUUCCUGGUGUAGCGGUGAAAUGCGCAGAUAUCAGGAGGAACACCGGUGGCGAAGGCGGGUCUCUGGGCCGAUACUGACGCUGAGGAGCGAAAGCGUGGGGAGCGAACAGG